GCCUGGAUCAGUUGGUUAGAGAGUGGUGCUGAUAAUGCCAAGGUUGCGAGUUCGAUCCCUGCAUGGGACA